CGACGGAACAGCAGAACCUGAACAAGGACGGCAGCGUUUCACCUGAGGAGAGGAACUUCAUGGACGGGAGCCAUUGGGAAUAUUAAAGGACGUUCACUCUCAGCAAGUUGACAUCAACAGUUGACACAAGAUCAAUGAGGAGUUCAGAAGAAUAACCACAGUUCAUCUGGAGCGAAACUUUUUGUCGAAAUUGGACAAUUGCAC